rnacentral:siRNA from 1 species
AAGUGGAGAGCUUGACGCCAGAGG